UCGAGGAUCUUCGUCAAUGGGCGCAAGCCUGAACGAGCGACGCCGCGUGCGCGAUGAAGGCCUUCGGGUUGUAAAGCGCGAAAGUGGGGAUAAAGCCGAAAGGUUGAUAGAUCCACAGUAAGGACGGGCUAAGUUCGUGCCAGCAGCCGCGGUAAGACGAACUGUCCUAACGUUGUUCGGAAUCACUGGGCUUAAAGGGCGCGUAGGCGGUCCGACAAGUCAGGGGUGAAAUCCUGCAGCUUAACUGCAGAAGUGCCUUUGAUACUGUCGGUCUUGAGGGAGAUAGGGGUGUGCGGAACUUCCAGUGGAGCGGUGAAAUGCGUUGAUAUUGGAAGGAACGCCGGAGGCGAAAGCGGCGCACUGGAUCUCUUCUGACGCUGAGGCGCGAAAGCUAGGGGAGCAAACGGGAUUAGAUACCCCCGUAGUCC
rnacentral:rRNA from 1 species